rnacentral:lncRNA from 1 species
UCUUCUCCACUAUAUAAACAACCCUUUCACUCACACUUAGACACUCUCAGACUCAGUCACUCAUGCUUACAUAUUCUAACAAGAGCAUAAAAUACUCUCUACUCUAAAGAUUUAAAAUUGGGUGCACAUUCUAAGAGCUUCUCUAUUCGGUUUUGCUGUGUUCGGGUCUAGUAUCGGAAUAAGUUUGGUCUUCAUUGUUGAUUAAUAAAUCUGCACAAUCGGUU